rnacentral:siRNA from 1 species
UGACUUUUUCUUUGGCCCUUC